ACAGGACUAGAUGAUGUCGCAUCUGCCUUUCAGCCCUCCCCUGGUUUCUAGGAAAUAAAUCAGCUCCUACAAUUAAACCGUGGUGUGCUGCCCCAGCAAUAGCACUUCGUCCUACACACCGUGAAAGGAUUGUGCUUCCUUUAGGGCCAGCCAGGACCCCUCGUGAGACAUGAUGACACAACUCUACAGUGAAGAUAGGAGAGCCAUUAAACUGCAGAAUUCAUACACCUAAAUUUGUUUCCAGACAGAUCUAGACUCUUUCAGAUCGUCUCCCUCCCCUGCACUCCAAACAACUCCUCCCAGUAACAUCUGAAAGUGAAAAAAGAGAAAGAGAAAACAGGUGAAUCAGCCUAUCAUACUUUCAAAUGAGCACAAGAUAUCAUAAUCCUGAAACUUCUGUAUGGCAAAGAAGCUCACCAUGUGAAACUGCUGUAGCACAUGUAGUCAACACGGGAGUUGGGAAAGUUCACUUCUACUUUAUUCAGACUCUGAAUCAAGCAUGCAGGACCUUCAGCUUCUCCAAGAAGUAUGAGGCCGCACAGUGCAGCACCAUUCUUUAACCGCUAGUAGGCUCUGAGAUAUUUUCCAAGCUGACCCAUUGGAACACAAAGGGAAAGACGCAGCCCUGAUGUAUUCUUUCUGAAAAAGUUCUCCAGAUCUCAUGCGGCCAAGAAUUUUGGAUGCUGUCACAUAGUGUAAGAACCUACAGAUUGCUCCUGUUCUCCUUUAUUAGUCCAUCACUCUUCUUAUUUAAUCCUCGUUCUUUCCAUUUCAUGCUUUCCAGAUCUGAAAAUCUUUCUCAUAGUGGCCUUUAUGCAUUCUAAUGAUGUUUAACUAUUUUCCUUUUAUCCAGCCUUAGUCUCUCUCCCAAACUGUAUUAAAAACUCAAUGAUUGUUGGGGCUGGCCUGGUGGCA
rnacentral:lncRNA from 1 species